AUGAACAUCACCCUUCUAUCCCGCUGGCUAUGGCGCAUUUCGCAAGGGCAAGGUGGCCUCUGGUUAGACAUCAUUCGGAACAAAUACCUGCGUGGGCAACCCCUCGCCUUCUGUCAGAGAUCUGGCGGCUCCCAGUUCUGGCAGUCGGUCAUCCAACUACUCCCGGUUCUUCGCAUUGGGACCUCCAUUUUAGUUGGAUCUGGGGCGGCGACUCUGUUUUGGUUCGACCGGUGGGCGGGAGACUCCCCCUUCGCCGCACGCUUCCCCGACCUCUUCUCUAUCGCCGUUGACCCUUGGAUCUCUGUUGAGAGGGUCCUUAUUAACUUAGGGCGCCUCGCCUUCCGGAGGCCAUUUGGGCCUCCGGAUUCUGCCGCUUGGCAUGAGUUGCUCGACUGCGUCGCCCUACACGAGCCUGUGGUGGACGCUGGCACGGAUCAGGUCCAGUGGCGCCUAGAGCCGUCAGGCCAAUUCUCCGCCAAAUCCCUCUACCGGGCCAUUGCCCCCUCCUCCCCCCCCCCCUCCCCUUACGGCGGUUUGGUCCAUCCGCCUGCCUCUGAAGAUUCGGAUCUUCAUGUGGCAAUGGAUUCGCGGGCGGACCCCGUCCGGGGUGGAGGUUCGCAAGCGUAA
rnacentral:rRNA from 1 species